UCCAGACUCCUACGGGAGGCAGCAGUAGGGAAUUUUCGUCAAUGGGCGCAAGCCUGAACGAGCAAUGCCGCGUGAGUGAGGAAGGUCUUCGGAUCGUAAAGCUCUGUUGCAGGUCAGAAAAGAAGGAAAGAGGAAAUGCUUUUCUUUUGAUAGUAACCUGCCAGAAAGUCACGGCUAACUACGUGCCGGCAGCCGCGGUAAUACGUAGGUGGCAAGCGUUAUCCGGAAUGAUUGGGCGUAAAGGGUGCGCAGGCGGCGUGGCAAGUCUGAAGUGAAAGGUACGGGCUCAACCCCGCCCAGCCGUCGGAACUGCCGGGCUAGAGUGGGCGAGAAGUGCGCGGAAUGCGUGGCGUAGCGGUGAAAUGCAUAGAUAUCACGCAGAACUCCGAUUGCGAAGGCAGCGCACCGGCGCCCUACUGACGCUGAAGCACGAAAGCGUGGGUAUCGAACAGGAUUAGAUACCCUGGUA
rnacentral:rRNA from 1 species